rnacentral:lncRNA from 1 species
UUACACAGGUUUUCGCUUGAGAACACGGUUUCCAUGAUACUUGGUGGCCUGUACAACAGGAACCGGAAAUUUAUUACGCCAGGAACACGCCAGCAAUACGCCGGCUUAAAAACAUCAAACUUCUGCGCGUAUUCGGCGUAAUAAUACGCGUGUAUUCCAGGCGUAUUAAUACGCAAUGCGGUAGCAACCCUGGCUCGGCCCCCCGAAUGGCGCUUCGCGCCCGGGGCCUCGCCCCAAAAAAGGACCGUCAAACUUGUCAGCACAUUUGCCUAUUCUCGCAGAGAAAGUUAGGUAGCUAGGUGCUCAAACCGUGAGCGAAACAUCUCAGAAAUUGCCUUCGCAAGGCCACGCUGAUCAUCCACUUGGAUGCUAUCACGAAUAUCCGCGUUGACGGGCACACCGAGGUCCCAGAGCUUCUGUCGUGCAGACACAAUCGCCGGGCAUUCUAUCAAAAAAUGUUUCUCAUCCUCAAUAGCUGUUACGACACACUCCCUAGCCCUGUUGCUCUCACUGUUAACCUGUUGUAAGCUUCAGACGACACAACCACAACAAUGGUGGUCUCGAAAGAUACCGAAUGAGACAAGUGCCUUGGAUAAAUAGUCAUCAGUGACUCCACUUGGGCCUCGCGCCGAUAAGUCCCCAGUACGACAGGGCGACGCGUAUCCAGAAGUCAUAGCUCGCAGGAACUACUCUCGCUCAGUCAGACGAAACAGGGACGCAGGUCCCAGCUUUACACAGGUAAAACCCCCGCCCAUACGCAGGUACGGACUUCCGCAGCGGUGCGGCAUUCAGGUGGCGCACGACUAUCAGUAGUCGCUUUAGCCGCCGCAGCUAACAGUAGCCGCAAGUAAACUAAUAUCAAUAUUAGAUAGACCUGUAAUCACUGGCAGCGGAUAUAUGCGGGCAUUAGUUAGUAACAGUGAAGUUCAAUAAAUGGGACCGGACGAGCUAACUGCCGAUAGUUAGGAUUCGGAGCCGCAAACCGUGCAGAAAGCUUUACAGGAUUUACAGGAUACAACUACUAUUUUCCCCCCUAGAUGCGACGUCCCGUUGCAUAUGGAUCACUGUGCAAAACAAGAUUGGCCAUACCUGCUAACGCGCUGCAACCUUGGACUGAGCAUGCAGACGAACCCCAUCAAGCAACGGUCUAAGAUCCGGGGUGAAGUUGCGCGCUGGUUCCCAGCUAUUGUGUUCGGACGAUUACCCUACCCACUUGACUAAGUACUCGUGAACAGUGUGCUUGCGCCUAGCCUUACCCACGCGCCGGGUCCGAUAGUCCUAAAUACGUUCAACGGCAUACAUGGUUUGCUUACCAGACAACCAAGUGGUGAGCGCAGCCUCUGUAGCAGUAGGAGGCACAGGCGCUGCCGGAAUGGGUACAGACCCAUGAUAUGGACGGACCAAAGACACGUGGAAGGUAGGAUGAACACGCAUUUCAGAAGACAGUUCGAGUUGUACAGCAACCG